rnacentral:rRNA from 1 species
AACGUAGGUGGCGAGCGUUAUCCGGAAUUACUGGGCGUAAAGCGUGUGCAGGCGGGGGGGUAAGUGGUGUAUGAAAUGUCCCGGCUCAACCGGGAGGGGUGAUGCCAGACUGCAUCUCUUGAGUGCGAGAGAGGAGCGUGGAAUUCCGGGUGUAGUGGUGAAAUGCGUAGAGAUCCGGAGGAACCCCAGAGGCGAAGGCGGCGCUCUAGCUCGCAACUGACGCUCAGACACGACAGCAUGGGGAGCGAACGGG